rnacentral:rRNA from 1 species
GACGAACGCUGGCGGCGUGCCUAAUACAUGCAAGUCGAACGCUUCUUUCCUCCCGAGUGCUUGCACUCAAUUGGAAAGAGGAGUGGCGGACGGGUGAGUAACACGUGGGUAACCUACCCAUCAGAGGGGGAUAACACUUGGAAACAGGUGCUAAUACCGCAUAACAGUUUAUGCCGCAUGGCAUAAGAGUGAAAGGCGCUUUCGGGUGUCGCUGAUGGAUGGACCCGCGGUGCAUUAGCUAGUUGGUGAGGUAACGGCUCACCAAGGCCACGAUGCAUAGCCGACCUGAGAGGGUGAUCGGCCACACUGGGACUGAGACACGGCCCAGACUCCUACGGGAGGCAGCAGUAGGGAAUCUUCGGCAAUGGACGAAAGUCUGACCGAGCAACGCCGCGUGAGUGAAGAAGGUUUUCGGAUCGUAAAACUCUGUUGUUAGAGAAGAACAAGGACGUUAGUAACUGAACGUCCCCUGACGGUAUCUAAUCAGAAAGCCACGGCUAACUACGUG